ACAUAGUACCAUGAGGUCUUAACACAUUACUAACUAAUAAUAAAUUAAUUAAUCAGCCAGCAGGAAGUGAUGUAAUAUCAAGGGAGCUAUAAAGGGAUGCCCCUAUAUUGCCUCUCAUUCUGUAGUUGGUAUUCAAUGAGGUUGCACUUGUUCCUGUAAAAAGGAAUAGUUUCGUUCAGGAUUUGAAAUUUUCCUAAGUUCUCUGUUUGGUGACAUGUAUAAACAGAGGUAGACUAUAAGGUUCCACCAUUCUUGAUUGAAAAUAGGGAAUAGUAUCAUUCAGGAUUUGAAAUUUUUCCUAAGUCCUCUUUUUGGUGACAUGUAUAAACAGAGGUAGACUAUAAGGUUCCACCAUUCUUGAUUGAAAAUAGGGAAUAGUUUCGUUCAGGAUUUGAAAUUUUCCUAAGUUCUCUGUUUGGUGACAUGUAUAAACAGAGGUAGACUAUAAGGUUCCACCAUUCUUGAUUGAAAAUAGGGAAUAGUAUCAUUCAGGAUUUGAAAUUUUUCCUAAGUCCUCUUUUUGGUGACAUGUAUAAACAGAGGUAGACUAUAAGGUUCCACCAUUCUUGAUUGAAAAUAGGGAAUAGUUUCGUUCAGGAUUUGAAAUUUUCCUAAGUUCUCUGUUUGGUGACAUGUAUAAACAGAGGUAGACUAUAAGGUUCCACCAUUCUUGAUUGAAAAUAGGGAAUAGUAUCAUUCAGGAUUUGAAAUUUUUCCUAAGUCCUCUUUUUGGUGACAUGUAUAAACAGAGGUAGACUAUAAGGUUCCACCAUUCUUGAUUGAAAAUAGGGAAUAGUUUCGUUCAGGAUUUGAAAUUUUCCUAAGUUCUCUGUUUGGUGACAUGUAUAAACAGAGGUAGACUAUAAGGUUCCACCAUUCUUGAUUGAAAAUAGGGAAUAGUAUCAUUCAGGAUUUGAAAUUUUUCCUAAGUCCUCUUUUUGGUGACAUGUAUAAACAGAGGUAGACUAUAAGGUUCCACCAUUCUUGAUUGAAAAUAGGGAAUAGUUUCGUUCAGGAUUUGAAAUUUUCCUAAGUUCUCUGUUUGGUGACAUGUAUAAACAGAGGUAGACUAUAAGGUUCCACCAUUCUUGAUUGAAAAUAGGGAACGUAACAUCAUCUAAUUUCAACCAAAUUUAUAUAUAUUUUUUUGAAGUCUAUCUAGAUAUUAUAUUUAUCGAAUUGAAUAUGUGAUUGGAUGUAAUCAUUGGAUAUUCUAAACCUUUCUAAUCAAUGGUAAUCACUCCUACUAUAAGAACUGAUUCCAAACCCCUGAUGAAGUCCUAACGGACGAAACGCGUUGGGUUUUGCAACGUCUGGUUAACAAAGUCCUUAUCACAAACAUCUGGUUGGAGAUACAUCCAUUUCGAGUUCUGACUGUGAUCACCUGGCUGUAAAAUCCUCACAUCCAACUGUAAUUUAUGUAUAAGAUUGUAAUAUUGUUUUAUAUGAAUUUUUAGAAGGUUGUGUCAAUAACGAACGCUUAGGAUAAAUAUCGUUUGUUUCUGUACAAUAAAAACUUUUAAU